AGCUGUUAUGCUGAUGGUCUGAAAUCCUGGUCCCUCGGUUUCCAAAUCUGUGCUUUCUCAGACAUUUAUCGCUGGCACUCUUAAAAACGGAGAAAAGACUUUGGACUGAGCUCCCUAGAAUAUUUUAAUAAAAUUUUCAUUUCCCAUCUGACUGACAGAUAAUGUCCUUGAGUUCUCAUUCAGAACAAGUGACUUUGGGCUAUGUUGACUCCUUCAAUCCUGCCACUUCUCCUUCCUCCAAGAAAGUAUUUGACCCCAGUAAGACAGUUUACCCUUGCCAUUACCUACAGACAUCAGCAAGAAGGGUCACAGGUUUCACUUCCAUUCUGGUGAGUAGAAGUAAGUCGCUUGCAGAGGUGGAAUGCUUCUUCAGCUUGGGAGGAACCGAUCAGGUUGUCAGCACUUGAGCUUUGCAAGUCGGGGACACAGCUGGUGACCAUCAGCCUGCAGGAAGGAAAAAGCAGAAAACAACAACAAACCAAACCACUGAAGAUCAGUGCAAGAAGACAGACCUACACAGGAAAUCUGAGAUGGCUACUGAUCCUGCCAGGCAGGCAUUCUCAGAGCGAGAAGUAUGUAUAUAGAGAGGGACACCUGCAACCCAUGGAGGAAUAACCAAGCCUGUUUUGCAGCAAUAUGCAUUUUCCCAAGUGGUCAGAUCAAGAUCACUCUGUGCAAUGCAGAAGAAAACACAUGCCAUCUGUCUGGUCCUCACUGGAGCUCCUCUUGUCUGCUGAUGACAAACAAGUCUUUGGACAGACCUCUUACAUCCCUCAGGAGCUGUCAGGUAUUUUGAGGCUCUUUGCUUCGGACAUCAGAACAACCUUCCUCAAUUUUGCUGAUGAAAACAGUGCCCUGGGAAGAGUGUCCCUUAUCAUCUGGACAUUUUUUUUUUUAAGUCUUCCUUAUUUUUUGCUUCUCCUGCUUACACUCACAUGUUUUCAUUCGUACUUCCUUCCUACCAAUCUUAGUAUUUCUUGUGAAUUUCUAUAUUGUAAGUAAGCAAAACUCCACUUUUCUGAGAUAAAAACUUUUCCCUACUUAAAACUAGUUUAAGCUUAUGAAAUCAUGUAACACAGUUUUUCAACCUAUGUGACAGAUUCUUGGAUGUCAUCACAGGUAAAUACAAACAGAAGCUACCACAGAGAUAAAGUAAGUGCACGCUAUGGUCAGUGCAUGCAUUGAAUACCAUCAUAAAAACACAGAAAUUAGCAUCCUACAAAAACAUAACUUUCCCAACAGGAAAAAGACUGAUCCAAAUGUUGCAUGAUGACUGUCCAGUAACACUCCUAUUGUUGCUUUCACCUUCCUUUCUCAGUGAUUACAUCCAUUUGUUGGGCCUUGACUUAAAUGAGAUUGGGAAAGGUCUAGGGCCAAGGUCAUGUUAUUCUACACAUUUGAAAAAUGCAUGGCACAGUGUUGCUUUGCUUUUGACAGGUUUCCCAACAAUCGCUGUAAUAAGAGGAAUAAAAUAACAUCAAUAAUAACA
rnacentral:lncRNA from 1 species